CCAAAAUGCUGUGAUUACAGGUGUGAGCCACCACGCCUGGCCUGUUUUUUUUUUAAAUAAAUAUUCAAAACAUUUUAAAAGUUAAUAGAGAUACCUCUAAUCAGUUCCUAGAGAGCUUGUAAAUUGUCAGACCUGGUCAUCUCCUAUCUUCCCUUGGGUGCUGUCUCUGUGCUCAGGCACUUUCCUGUUUAAUAUACUACCUGCCAAUAACUAGCUAAAAGAUGCCGGGCGUGUGUGUGUGUGUGUGUGUGUGUGUGUAGUGUGUGUGUGUGUGUGUGUAAUAACCUAAUUGACACACAGUCAUGACGUUUUCCUUCAGCCUGAUGUUAUCCCAUCAUUCGGAGACCCAUUUUGUUUAAUUUGUUUUUUCAUAUAGUUUCUGGUAGGAAAAAUGCAUUGCUUUAGCACUGAAAUUAGCUUGAUUGAAAUGUCUUAGACUUUAUCAUUUUCCAGUGGCUCAAAAGGUUAUUUCCCAAGUGUUUAAUUUUUUAAGUACAGUAUAUAUUAAUUUCACUGCUGCUUUCUGACAUUCAUCAUUCCAUGAAAAAUUAUCACAAAUGAAUACAUCAAACAGACUUUUAUUUACACUCCAAUUCCCAUUCAAUGUAAAGUUAUUUAACUUUGAAGAUAGCAUGCAAAUUUGAUAAAGAUGAGGUUUUU